rnacentral:snRNA from 1 species
GUGCUCGCUUUAGCAGCACAUAUACUAAAACCGAAAUGGAGAAGAUUAGCAUGGCACCUGAGCAAGGAUGACACACAAAUUCCUGAAGCGUUCCAUAUUUUU